CUAGCUGUAAACGGUGGGCACUAGGUGUAGGAGGCAUCGACCCCUCCUGUGCCGUAGCUAACGCAUUAAGUGCCCCGCCUGGGGAGUACGACCGCAAGGUUGAAACUCAAAGGAAUUGACGGGGGCCCGCACAAGCGGUGGAGCAUGUGGUUUAAUUCGAUGCAACGCGAAGAACCUUACCCAGGUUUGACAUGCUUUGGACAGGUGUGGAAACACACCCUCCCUUCGGGGCCAUUGCACAGGUGC
rnacentral:rRNA from 1 species